rnacentral:lncRNA from 1 species
GGCAUGAAAUCAGAAAUGGCGGAGGACCAUCGCGGCGGCACGGUCGUGCACGGCGGCGCAUGGCCCAGGCAUGGCAGCAUGCAGGCUAGACGCGGCCCAGGCCCAGGCGCACGAGUGCACGGGCCAGCCCAGGCCCAGGCAUGCAAGCGCACGAACGUGGCCCAGGCCCAACAUGCUCGCUGGGAGCUCGAUAGCCCGAUCCACGAUGGACCGAGCGAUGCACAUAAAGCUG